AUCCAGCUGACGAGUCCCAAAAUGGGACGAAACGCGCGUCCUGGAU
rnacentral:hammerhead_ribozyme from 1 species